GUAAUAUUCACUUUGACAGCACAUAUACGAAAACUGGAAUGAAACAGAGAAGAUUAGCCAGGCCUCUGCACAAGGAUGACAGACAAGUUAGAGAAACAUUCCAAAUUUUU
rfam:Ictidomys tridecemlineatus contig005036, whole genome shotgun sequence.